AGAGUUUGAUCCUGGCUCAGGAUGAACGCUAGCGGCAGGCUUAACACAUGCAAGUCGAGGGGUAUGUUUCUUCGGAAGCAGAGACCGGCGCACGGGUGCGUAACGCGUAUGCAAUCUACCUUUUACAGAGGGAUAGCCCAGAGAAAUUUGGAUUAAUACCUCAUAGUAUUAUGAAAUGGCAUCAUUUUAUAAUUAAAGUCACAACGGUAAAAGAUGAGCAUGCGUCCCAUUAGCUAGUUGGUAAGGUAACGGCCCACCAAGACCACGAUGUCUAGGGGAUCUGAGAGGAUGACCCCCCACACUGGUACUGAGACACGGACCAGACUCCUACGGGAGGCAGCAGUAAGGAAUAUUGGUCAAUGGAGGCAACUCUGAACCAGCCAUGCCGCGUGCAGGAAGACGGUCCUAUGGAUUGUAAACUGCUUUUAUACAGGAAGAAACACUCCGACGUGUCGGAGCUUGACGGUACUGUAGGAAUAAGGAUCGGCUAACUCCGUGCCAGCAGCCGCGGUAAUACGGAGGAUCCAAGCGUUAUCCGGAAUCAUUGGGUUUAAAGGGUGCGUAGGCGGCCUGUUAAGUCAGGGGUGAAAGACGGUAGCUCAACUAUCGCAGUGCCCUUGAUACUGAUGGGCUUGAAUACACUAGAGGUAGGCGGAAUGUGACAAGUAGUGGUGAAAUGCAUAGAUAUGUCACAGAACACCGAUUGCGAAGGCAGCUUACUAUGGUGUCAUUGACGCUGAGGCACGAAAGCGUGGGGAUCAAACAGGAUUAGAUACCCUGGUAGUCC
rnacentral:rRNA from 1 species